rnacentral:rRNA from 1 species
GUCCGCACGAGCGCACCCUCGCCCUUAGUUGCCAGCAUUUAAUUGUGCACUCUAUGGGGAUGCCGGUGUAUAAGCCGCGAGGAAAGUGGGGGAUGACAUCUAGUCCUCUUGGCCCUUACAGGCUGGGCUACACACGUGCUACAAUGUGCGGUGGACAGUGGGCAGCGACCUCGCGAGAGGAAGCUAAUCUCCAAAAGCCGUCUCAGUUCGGAUUGUUCUCUGCAACUCGAGAGCAUGAAGUUGGAAUCCGUAGUAAUCGCGUAACAUCAUGACGCGGUGAAUACGUUCCCGGGCAUUGUACACACCGCCCGUCACACCAUGGGAGUUGGUUUUACCCGAAGGCGCUGUGCUUACCGCAAGGAGGCAGGCGACCACCGUAGGGUCAUCGACUGGUGUGAAGUCG